rnacentral:lncRNA from 1 species
CUCUGUGACCCUCCCUAACGUCACCUCUGUGACCUCCCUAACGUCACCUCUGUGACUAUGUCUGCGUCCCAAAUGGAACAUUUUCCUCUAUAAAGGCCACAACUUUUGACCAGAGCCUUAUGGGUAAAUGCCAUUUGGGACGAUUCUCUUGUAUGUGUGCUUGUGACUGAUGGAUUGACUAGCAGAGACUGAGUCUGAGUACCACUGUCAGAUAAGUAUGUGUCAGAUAGUUACUGUGUUGAAUAGUGUAAUGUUCUGGUUACAUGUGUAACAUACAGGGUAUGUAGUGUCAGGUACUUGAUCAGAUGCUUAGCUAAGAAAGUGUGUGGGAUGCUACUGCCUCCACGUUGUUGUUGUUGUUGUUGAUGUUGUUGUUUUUAACCAAGUCGAACUGUUGCCAUGAUAUGCUAUUACUUGGUUACGCACCGGAAUCUGGCGUUUCUAUUGAAUUAUGCUCUUUUUCUAGAAAGGACCAUGACUGUUACCCUAGCAACCCAUCGAUGCUAUUUAGAGGGCGUUACAUGUAAUGAAAGAUUGAACGGUGUUGAGAAUAUGUUCAAAUUGAAGCAAUACAUCCUAGUAUUGUUGUUCUAUCAGCCAUAUUACCCUGCACUGUGACACCAGCUAGCCGAGGCAGCUCUGGAGGCUGUCCCCUGACCCCUGUCUCCUCCACUCUCCUGGAGGCUGACCCCUGACCCCUGUCUCCACUCUUCUGGAGGCUUACCCCUGUCUCCUGCACUCUCUUGGAGGCUGACCCCUGUCUCCUCCACUCUCCUGGAGGCUUACCCCUGUCUCCUCCACUCUCCUGGAGGCUGACCCCUGUCUCCUCCACUCUCCUGGAGGCUGACCCCUGUCUCCUCCACUCUCCUGGAGGCUGACCCCUGUCUCCUCCACUCUCCUGGAGGCUGACCCCUGAACCCUGUCUCCUCCACUCUUCUGAAGGCUUACCCCUGUCUCCUGCACUCUCCUGGAGGCUGACCCCUGACCUCUCCACUCUCCUGGAGGCUGACCCCUGUUUCCUCCAAUCUCCUUUAGGCUGACCCCUGUCUCCUCCACUCUCCUGGAGGCUGACCCCUGACCCCUCCACUCUCCUGGAUGGCUAACUCCUGACCCCCGUCUCCUCCACUCUCCUGGAGGCUGACUCCUGACCCCUGUCUCCUCCACUCUCCUGGAGGCUGACUCCUGACCCCUGUCUCCUCCACUCUCCUGGAGGCUGACUCCUGACCCCUGUCUCCUCCACUCUCCUGGAGGCUGAGCCCUGUCUCCUCCAAUCUCCUGGAGGCUGACCCCUGUCUCCUCCACUCUCCUGGAGGCUGACCCCUGUCUCCUCCAAUCUCCUGGAGGCUGACCCCUGUCUCCUCCACUCUCCUGGAGGCUGACCCCUCUCUCCUCCACUCUCCUGGAGGCUGACCCCUGACCCCUCCACUCUCCAGGACCAAGUAAAGCUUUAAGAGACAUCUCCUUUAGUGUAGUUCUAGUGUUGCUGCAGCCAGGCUUCCAGAAUUAGCGGCACAUUCCAAAUGACCUGAACAUUCCAGAUAUGAGCCUGGCGUUGUCCUCUGUCUGCCUCAAUAUCCCAGGUGGGGUUGUCAUACUGUAGGCGACAUAUAGAGAGAGAUAUGAGGUGAGAGAGUUGAUUGAUUCCAUGCUUUUGUAGUCUGAUUGUCAGUCUGUGUUUGACAGUUAAAGAACGAUUGGCUGAGUUUCUAUCCCUUUAUAAUGAAAAGGUCUUACUACCAUCUCUAACGAGGCUCAGCAGUUUUAGCCGAAUGCUUUCCAAAACAUCACAACGUGCCUGAACUUCUCUGUCUUUUUUUUUAUUACUAAAUGGAAUGUCAAUUGUUUCAAAUACCUUUUAAUCAUCAUGAACUUUUCCAUUGAGCUAACAAGCCUUUAUAAGUCAUUGUUUCCCCCAGUCUCAGUGAGUGUAGCGCUGAUGGACACUGUGUCUGCUGUUGGUGUGUUUUCAUGCCAUUUAGCAGAGGCUUUUAUUCAAACCACGAAGUGAUGUAUGCAUUCUUUAUGUGUGGAUGGUCACGGGAGUCAAACCCACUAUCCUGUUGUUGCAAGUGUCAUGCUCUACCAACUGACCUACAGAGGACCAGUGUAUUGUUAGGGAGUUUAGUCUGUAAGGGCAAAACCAGCUGGCUGACUGACCAGGGAGGAAUAAGAUGACCUUCUGUCUAACCUCUGACCUCUCCAACCCAGCUCUCCCACAGACAGGCUGACGUGUGUGUGUGUGUGUGUGUGUGUGUGUGUGUGUGUGUGUGUGUGUGUGUGUGUGUGUGUGUGUGUGUGUGUGUGUGUGUGUGUGUGUGUGUGUGUGUGUGUUCUCCAUCAACACAUCUUCCAACAGCCCUAACCAGUAGGAAAGCUCAAUAUUCACUUUAGUUUUGACCACAACUCUGUCACGCUUGCUCAAGUCACCCCUUAGUUAGCACUGAUCUAGGAUCAGCUUACACUCCCCAUAUCCAAACCUAAACCAUUAGUGGAGGGGGACUCUAAACAGACCGUAGCUCAGUGUCUGGGAGAAACUCCACUUUUCCCUGAACAUGUUGAUACUUUAGCAGGACUAGUAGUAACUAUGACUACAUCCUUUAGUAGCAGUGAGCCAAGCAGCUCUACAGCCAGGUGAGUUAGAGAGACAUCAUGUAGCUGUCUAUGCACUUUGACCUCUGGGAUAUCCAGAGGGUAGAAUAGCCAUAUUGAGGUCUCAGUGAUGCCCGGUUCAAUACACCAGCGAGACUCUGUGUGACUGACUGUUUCUCUGUAGAGAGACUGACUGCAUGGCAGUGACUGUUUCUCUGUAGAGACUGACUGCAUGGCAGCGACUGUUUCUCUGUAGAGAGACUGACUGCAUGGCAGUGACUGUUUCUCUGUAGAGACUGACUGCAUGGCAGUGACUGUUUCUCUGUAGAGACUGACUGCAUGGCAGUGACUGUUUCUCUGUAGAGACUGACUGCAUGGCAGUGACUGUUUCUCUGUAGAGACUGACUGCAUGGCAGUGACUGUUUCUCUGUAGAGACUGACUGCAUGGCAGUGACUGUUUCUCUGUAGAGACUGACUGCAUGGCAGUGACUGUUUCUCUGUAGAGAGUGACUGCAUGGCAGUGACUGUUUCUCUGUAGAGACUGACUGCAUGGCAGUGACUGUUUCCCUGUAGAGACUGACUGCAUGGCAGUGACUGUGCCUAAUGGUGGGGCUCCACAGGGUGCUCCUUAAAAAGCUUUAAACAUGUACCUUUCAGAUGUCUGUUACUACAACAUUGUUCAGCUCCAGUUUGGCUCACUGUGAAAGGUAGCUAACUAAAUGAAUAAGGUCAACUUGAAACAUGCAUUCGCUUUUUCUCCAGUGUGUUGCACAAAGGUUUUGUAGAAAGGCUCGGACAGUGGGUUUGAGAGGUGUGAUAAUAACUGAUCUUAUGAAAGGUUGAACAUGUAUUAAGGCCUUCCUGUAUUACAAAAAAGUGAAACACCUACAAAGCGCCUUAUUUCAUCAACUUUGUAUUUUCUUUUGAAUCUCUAAACGUUGUGGCUUAUUACUUUCACCAACUACUUGAGUAUUUAACUGUUCUGAAAUAAAACAUGUUGCAUCAUGGGGAAUAUAUGGCAUUGACCUCAACAUAUUCAACUGGAAUUGUUGUUUGAUGUUUUGUUGGAAUGACAGCUAAUAGUCUGGUGUUUCUAACAGUGGACAGACACAGGUCAAGCAUAAGGAAGACAGGUUAGUCUGACUGUACAGGCAGACAUAAGAGACAGGUUAGUCUGACUGUACAGGCAGACAUAAGAGACAGGUUAGUCUAACUGUACAGGCAGACAUAAGAGACAGGUUAGUCUAACUGUACAGGCAGACAUAAGAGACAGGUUAGUCUGACUGUACAGGCAGACAUAAGAGACAGGUUAGUCUAACUGUACAGGCAGACAUAAGCGACAGGUUAGUCUAACUGUACAGGCAGACAUAAGCGACAGGUUAGUCUAACUGUACAGGCAGACAUAAGAGACAGGUUAGUCUAACUGUACAGGCAGACAUAAGAGACAGGUUAGUCUGACUGUACAGGCAGACAUAAGAGACAGGUUAGUCUAACUGUACAGGCAGACAUAAGAGACAGGUUAGUCUAACUGUACAGGCAGACAUAAGAGACAUGUUAGUCUAACUGUACAGGCAGACAUAAGAGACAGGUUAGUCUAACUGUACAGGCAGACAUAAGAGACAGGUUAGUCUAACUGUACAGGCAGACAUAAGAGACAUGUUAGUCUAACUGUACAGGCAGACAUAAGAGACAGGUUUGUGAGUUCAGGAUGAGUGUCUGUGGGUUUCUGGGAGAGAGGUGGAGGACAAUGCCUGCACAUUAAUACAAGUAUAAAUGUAUCAUUUUAAAUAUAAAACUAUAAAUAUUGUAUAGAAUGUCAUUCAUUUUUAUAAUCUUGACUGUACAUGUAAUGCAACCACCUUUCUUUUUGAAAGGAGUCUUUGAUGUUUUGUACAUGUAUGUAAAUGAUGUUUGCUUAGCAGUUGUUUGCAGCCUUCUCAAUGUAUGUUCGUCAAGGUUCAUUUCCGCGCUUCGAUACGUGUCCACGGUUUAUUAUACGUCAUGGAUUGAUGAAUUCAUAAUUGCCUGCAUAACUUUGUACAUGUUUGUGUCUCUCAUCACAGCAUAUUGUAUGGUCUGCGUUUUGUUUAGCAGUUGUACAGAUGUUACAUAUCACUGCGGCUACAUUACAGUAGGAGAAUAAAGCAC